rnacentral:rRNA from 1 species
UACGUAGGGGGCAAGCGUUGUCCGGAUUUAUUGGGCGUAAAGAGCGUGUAGGCGGCCUGAAAGGUCAGCUGUGAAAACUCGAGGCUCAACCUCGAGACGUCGGUUGAAACCAUCUGGCUAGAGUCCGGAAGAGGAGUGUGGAAUUCCCGGUGUAGCGGUGAAAUGCGCAGAUAUCGGGAGGAACACCGGUGGCGAAGGCGGUUCUCUGGGAAUGACCUGGACGCUGAGGAGCGAAAGUGUGGGGGAGCGAACAGG